rnacentral:rRNA from 1 species
GACGGAGGAUGCAAGUGUUAUCCGGAAUCACUGGGCGUAAAGCGUCUGUAGGUGGUCAAAUAAGUCAACUGUUAAAUCUUGAGGCUCAACCUCAAAAUCGCAGUCGAAACUAUUAGACUAGAGUAUAGUAAGGGUAAAGGGAAUUUCCAGUGGAGCGGUGAAAUGCGUAGAGAUUGGAAAGAACACCGAUGGCGAAGGCACUUUACUGGGCUAUUACUAACACUCAGAGACGAAAGCUAGGGUAGCAAAUGGG